rnacentral:tRNA from 1 species
ACAAAUUAGAGCUUGUAUGAAAGUAUUUCAUUUACAUUGAAAAGAAAUUAUAAUAUAAUUAAUUUGA